UAAGAUUCGCUCUGCGUUCUUCGGCUCACCCCCUUUUCAUGGCAACAUUUCCAUCACUCUCACAAGAAGCAUUAUGUCCCAAGGACAAACCAAUUUCACGCAAAUGGACAACGUGUUUGCUCUGCGACAUUCCCAUCAGCGUCAGUGACACACAAGGAAAACCUGCCUUGUCGCUUCCUAGCAGAAAGGGGAAGCAGACUGCCACUUCACGCACAGCGUGACUUCUCGGCUAUACCAUUUCUUGACUCACUUGCGUUUGCCAAAAGACAGAUGCACUUGCCAUCUAGGAGGAGUUGGCAGGAAAGCAGCGGCCAUGGCACAGCCGUGACUAGCUGGUCCGCCAUACUUAGCAGUCCGCCACAUACAAACUAGAGCUGACGAUGGGAAAACAAAACACAAACCACCACCAAGACCCCAGCAGAAAAGAAACUCAACAAGGCUUACCAUCUAAGACUUCUCUGACCACAAUGGGUUUGAGUCUCCUCCUCUACAGGCUGCUUUACAGAGGUAAUGGAGUAGUUACCAUAUAUCAAACUAUUUUGGAAAGAAACUCCCACCUGCUACUUCUAUUCUUCCAGGAAACUGUUCAAAUGUUCCGAUCAAACGCUGUACCCGCACUUUCUCCAGCCUUCCCUAAGGUGCCAGAACAUCACUUUCGUCCGGAAUGCUUCUCGAACCACAUCUGCAAGAUCCGAUGGUGCUUAAUGAACGUUACAGGAGAGAACCAAUUUGAGACUUUAGGAGAUGCACAGAUGCCAAGGAUGCUGAAAAACUAUUGGAGUUUAAGAAGAAAGGAAAUCACAGAGGUGUGGAACUUGCUCUUCUGGACUACUGGAUUAGCACUCUGUGCUAUUAGAUUAGGGGUUUCCUCGGGGAAGCAACCUCUUAGACAAGGAUGCUUUCCAGGAAUGGCUAAAGGCAACUCUCCAAGCAUGGAGAAGGGGCACUGUUGGAGGGUUUCCCCACAGUCUUGCAUUUAAUGUGGACUACUGCAUUUUUAACAAUGUGAGCCUCCAGGGAACUCAUUCUUUUUUAAGGAAAAAAAAAUUGACCUAAUGCUUUGGCAUUCCAUACAAUGCAUGUUGACUCAUUCUUACGGCACCUGAAAAUUUUGAAUUGUGGCAGGGAGUGUAACUCAAUGUUAGAGAACUUGUCAAAAUGUACAGAAUGCAAGACCAAACUCCAGCACAACAUCAAAAGGGAACGAAAGGACUAUCAGAAUGGAUCUGUUUGCUCAAUAAAGAAAUUUAAACAUCAUCAAAUGUUGUGUGCCAUUCUAGGCAUUGAGCACCAUAGCAAGACAUAAAGCCAGCGUCCAGCCUUUCUCAAGGGUACAGCUGCUUGGAGGAAGGUGUGGAAGAGAAAAAGACAGAAAAAAAGCACAGUUU